GAACAUAUAUAAGAUGGUUGAGAAAGACACAUAUUCUGAUCAUGAAGAAAUGAACACAAGUUAAAUAUGACUGAGCAGAAAGAUGGAAGGACCAGGAACUGUGAUGCUAACUUGGAGCCAUGAUAUAGGUCCAAACUCCUCUACAAUCAGCCUCCUUUGUGAGAAAAAUUCAUACUUGGUCUGAAGGGCCCAGCAAAGAGCCGACUCAUGGAAGAAUGUAGUUUUCAUAUCCUGAUGAUUUAAUCUUCCUUACCCUGACCAACAACCCCAAUUCUCCAGACCCUCACCCUCCACGAUCCCCUCAAAAACCCUUGUCCAGAAUCCCUCCAACAGACAGAUUUGAAGCUUGAGGAUUCCUUCCAUCUCUUUGCCCAACGGCCUUGUGAUUAUUAAACUCUUUUUUU